GCACUCAUCAGCAGCAGACUCACUACCAGAAACAUCUUCUUCAGCCUCAGAAACAUUUUCACUAUCUUCAUCAUCAGCAUCUGCAUCAUUUUCACCAGCAGCAUCCUGAGAACCAAUCUCUUCAGCACCUCUGGUUUGAUAUUGCACACUUUCAUUGUGCGAGGCACCACUUCGAAAGGCAACAAAAUUGUCCUCUUCAAAAUCACCAUUGGGUGAUAACUCACCCUCUUCUUUCUCAUUUUUACAGGGAUCAGCUGAAUCAUCAUUGUACCCAUUCAUUGUAGAGCCUUCUGCAAACCCUCCAUUACCCAACGGAAUCGAUCUUGAAGUAUCACUCUCCGAUGCUGGCACAUUAUCGAUGUUAGACUUGGAUACUUGACCAUCGUCAGAAGCACCAUUACCCUGUCUUGCACCACGCCCUGAAGUUAGUUCCACUCUUCCAUGAACAGUAUCUGCUCCCAUAGCAGGAGCUGCAUCAGAACUAGUUAGGUGCUCACCAGUCACUGGCAAACCGUCUUCUUUGGGGAGAGCAUCUGCACUUGCAAAGCUUGUCCUAGAAGGAUUUACUCGUAAGGGGGGAGCAUUUGCAUCUCUGUUGCUGAUAACUUUUGAUUGUUUACAAUUCCUAGUAGAAGCAUCUGCACUAGGACUGCCAUCACUUUCACCAAUGCUAGCUCCAUCA
rnacentral:misc_RNA from 1 species